rnacentral:rRNA from 1 species
AGAGUUUGAUCCUGGCUCAGGAUGAACGCUAGCUACAGGCUUAACACAUGCAAGUCGAGGGGAAACGACAUCGAAAGCUUGCUUUUGAUGGGCGUCGACCGGCGCACGGGUGAGUAACGCGUAUCCAACCUGCCCAUCACUUGGGGAUAACCUUGCGAAAGUAAGACUAAUACCCAAUGACGUCUCUAGAAGACAUCUGAAAGAGAUUAAAGAUUUAUCGGUGAUGGAUGGGGAUGCGUCUGAUUAGCUUGGUUGGCGGGGUAACGGCCCGCCAAGGCGACGAUCCCAGUAGGGUUCUGAGAGGAAGGUCCCCACAUUGGAACUGAGACACGGUCCAAACUCCUACGGGAGGCA